UAAGAGGUUGCUAAAAGUUCAUAUCGAGCUGAUAAGAAAAUGUUUGUGGCAGGUACACUUGGAGCUCACACAGCUGGUUGAUGACAUCUCCAAUCACGGCUUCUAGCUGCGAGCUAGCCAGGCUGGAGGGGAGGGUUCCGGAAGCACGAGCUCCAUGGCUACCCGGGGAUGGUGGGGGUUGCUGGAGGGCAGAGACUCCCCAGACAAAGACACCCAGAGACAAAAAACCCUGCCAUGUCCUCCGUCGGGAGACGAGUAACGUAGGCUUGUGAUAAAAAAAAGUAGCCUGAAGGCCUCAAUGAACGACGUGAUUUAAGGCGCUCAUUUUAAGAGGCACACAGGCGGGAGCGCGCACGCGCACUCGCCUAACGGAAAGUCUUGGGUCGUCGCGUUUUAGUUUGAAAAGAUUUACCAUUUUAACAACUAAAUGGACGCCACUAUCGGCGUUGUUAAAUGCGAUGUUUCAAAAAUCAAAUCAUGGUGGGAUUCGAGUAAAAUACGGACAACAAAGACAGAUUUUACGUCAUAAAAAUAGCUUUUGAGGCUUACCGUUUUCGGCAUCUUUGCUGUUAGUCGUCCGCUUGGGGUUCAAAAAGUAGGAAGAAAAAACAAAACAAGAAAAACGCUAAUAAAACAGACGAGCAGUAGGCGAAACCAGCAGAAAACUUUUUCCCAUCAGAACAACGGCGCCAGUCAAAUGGCUUCCGGUCUAAAACGAAUCCAACCUUAUAUGUGUUAGCUGGAAGAAAGAAAGGAAAAACCGCUUUCCGUGAGAAAUAUUUGUCUUUUGUGUCGCCUUCGAAGUGAAAAUGGGCUCGAAAGCUCGGUUUCCUGCUAACGGUACCCGGACUCUCAAACCACACCCAGGCCGAUGACAGGACAGCAGCCAGACAGAAAGAAGCUUGCAGCCCGCAGACUCCGCCUGCUGCCUCUGCAUCAUCAUCAUGGCCGCACACAUCCUCCGGCCAGGAACUUCCACUCCCUUCCAGAGCUCUCCGAUCAAAGCCGUAAUCACGGGUGAGCUCCAGCCUAUUCCAGCUGACUUCGGGUCAAGAGGCAAUUGUACACCUUGGACUUGUCCCAGUUGAUUACAGGAGAUGGAAAAAAGAGGAGUCAUUCGCCUCUCCCCACAUGUUAGCAACGCUACUGGAAUGACGGAAAGUACUCCAGCAGACACCACAUCGCAAAUGUUCAUCUGGGCCACAGUCUGGUGUGCUGUUCAGUCUUCUAGCUGUCGAUAGCGUUUCUACUCAAAUGGAUUUUACAUUCAUCACUCCAAGCAAUGUUUUCUCACAAAUUCCUCAGUAAACUCACCAAGACGUCACUCUGGAGUUUUUGAGUCUGUUUAGCUGAGUGGAGAGCUAGCUUCCGCAGCUAGAGGGUUCAUGACGAUGACUUUUGUUUUGUUUGAUCAGCCGUCUUACUGCCGUGUUACAGACACCGUUUGGAAACAAUUAAGGUAAGAACUCUUCUAAUCGUUUGGCCAUGAUGGAGGAGAAGGAGAUGCCAAGUUAAAAUCCAACGACAAGUAGUCAAGGUUUGAUCUUCUUGGCCAAAGUGGAAGAGCUGCAUCAAAGUUGAGAGAGCAGUUAAGCUGCAGACACAAAAAAAGUUGAAGACAUUUUAGGCGUCAUCAGUUCCAAAAUGUACUACCACCGCAAAAUAAGCCACCACUGGUCCAAAGAAAGAUGCCAGCUCUUUCAUAAAGAAGACGGAAGUCAACGCGAACGCCUGCGUGCUGCCAGGAAACUAAAAGAAGGAGAAGAAGAACGCCUACGUGUAAUUACUGCUAUCAUGGCUGAAGCUGCAAAACAACCAAAGAAACAAAAAGUUUUGUCGGAGGAGACAAAAAAAAAAGGGAGCUUACACAGAUAAAAGGACAGUCAAGGAUCAUCAUUGAUUUUUACUCGCUGGCCUGAGCGCAAAGAUGAGGAGGGAUUUUCAUCCGAUGCUGCCUUUCCUCUGUUUCUGCUAAACUAGUAAGUAACUUUCGAUGCUCAAGUCAAAAUGAUAAUGCUAAUGUUAGUUAUCGGAAAUGUGCGUAAUAGCAAUAAAUAGCCCCCAGCUUGAUAGUUUCACACUACUUCCUUGGGAAACAAUCUCCCGCCGGUCUUUCUUUGCUUCAGACCUGCAUCCGCCCGAUACAUUGUUGGUCUUAGUGUCAUGUUUGUAGCGCAAUCCAAGAUCAUUUCUUGAUAGUGUCUGCUAUUUAACAUCAGCAUAGCCGUUAGAGACGGGAUAUUUGUGCCAAUAUUACAGCGGACAUCAUGUCAGUUUGAUGCUAGUCCUCAUAGGAAAUGUGGUCUUCUUCUAGCAAAAACCACCAAAAUCAGCCAAAACUGAAAGUUCUUAAGUGGGGCCUUAAUGGCAAUCUUUAAUUUAUUUAUUACUGUUCUCCUUUCUUGCCUAUUUAUUACUGCCUUUCUUAAUACUUUCCGGCACCUGAGUCCAAAUUUCAUUUGUGCAAAUGUGUACAUGUGUGACAAAUAAAGCUCCUUGAGUCUUUGAAUCCUUGAAAGAAGACUUACUACAAUAAUGAUGCAAAGACAUACAUUACAUUACACAAAGAGCAACUCCCUGUAAGCAAGCGGACCGUGCUUAAAUUGUACAUGUGUAAUGACUUAAGGCCUCAAGGUCACAACAGCUGCUGGUAGAAGCAGUUAACUGAUUUAGUCACAUGGUUAAAAUAUGAU